rnacentral:rRNA from 1 species
UACGUAGGUGGCAAGCGUUAUCCGGAAUUAUUGGGCGUAAAGCGCGCGCAGGUGGUUUCUUAAGUCUGAUGUGAAAGCCCACGGCUCAACCGUGGAGGGUCAUUGGAAACUGGGGGACUUGAGUGCAGAAGAGGAAAGCGGAAUUCCACGUGUAGCGGUGAAAUGCGUAGAGAUGUGGAGGAACACCAGUGGCGAAGGCGCUUCUGGUCUGUAACUGACGCUGAGGCGCGAAAGCGUGGGGAGCAAACAGG